ncrna:Heliconius melpomene (postman butterfly) microRNA hme-mir-252 precursor
UCAUGUUCCUAAGUACUAGUGCCGCAGGAGUGACUUUCCGAUAUCUCCUGCUGCUUAAGUGCUUAUCAAUAGA